UUAAUUGAAGAGUUUGAUCAUGGCUCAGAUUGAACGCUGGCGGCAGGCUUAACACAUGCAAGUCGAGCGGUAGCACAAGGGAGCUUGCUCCCUGGGUGACGAGCGGCGGACGGGUGAGUAAUGUCUGGGAAACUGCCUGAUGGAGGGGGAUAACUACUGGAAACGGUAGCUAAUACCGCAUAACGUCGCAAGACCAAAGAGGGGGACCUUCGGGCCUCUUGCCAUCAGAUGUGCCCAGAUGGGAUUAGCUAGUAGGUGGGGUAAUGGCUCACCUAGGCGACGAUCCCUAGCUGGUCUGAGAGGAUGACCAGCCACACUGGAACUGAGACACGGUCCAGACUCCUACGGGAGGCAGCAGUGGGGAAUAUUGCACAAUGGGCGCAAGCCUGAUGCAGCCAUGCCGCGUGUGUGAAGAAGGCCUUCGGGUUGUAAAGCACUUUCAGCGAGGAGGAAGGUGGUGAGCUUAAUACGCUCAUCAAUUGACGUUACUCGCAGAAGAAGCACCGGCUAACUCCGUGCCAGCAGCCGCGGUAAUACGG
rnacentral:rRNA from 1 species